rnacentral:lncRNA from 1 species
GGCAGUUCAGGUUACGGCAGGGCCCUUGGCCGAUCUUCUCUACCCUUAGACCGACGUCGAUUGAACCUAUCGAGUCGACCUCAUCGGAUGAGCUCCUCGAUCUCGUCUCAGAGCUGGAUGCAUUCCUCUAUGUCGUGGCUGUGGUCGUGAUGGUAGAGACAGAACUUGUUGAGGUUGUGCUUCCCGAGGUGUGUGCGCAUCCUCUCUGGCCUAGGGAGCUGCUCCCUGACCUCUAUCAGUACCUGGGUCUUCGAGGCAUUGAGGGGGGCGUAGUUGCAGAAUCUUCUCGGUGGAGAACCCCGUCGAACCUCGCGAUCCGGACUUCUCUGCCUACGUACCC